rfam:Xenopus laevis strain J chromosome 1L, whole genome shotgun sequence.
AUUCCUCAUCCUUACUCCAGGGUUAUUGUUGCUUGUACAUUCCCUGGCAUUAAUUGAGGAUAAAGUAAUUGCUCUGAUUUGCCUUUGGAAACUUGUUUUCCUUAGGGCUUAGUUAAGUGCAAACACU